rnacentral:rRNA from 1 species
UACGUAGGGGGCGAGCGUUACCCGGAUUCACUGGGCGUAAAGGGGGCGUAGGUGGCCGUGUAAGUCCGGUGUGAAAACUCACGGCUCAACCGUGGGACUGCGCUGGAAACUACACGGCUUGAGGACGGUAGAGGGAGACGGAACUGCUGGUGUAGGGGUGAAAUCCGUAGAUAUCAGCAGGAACGCCGGUGGGGAAGCCGGUCUCCUGGGCCGUUCCUGACGCUGAGGCCCGAAAGCUAGGGGAGCAAACCGG